UGGGGUUGUGGCUCAGUGGUAGAGUGCUUGCCUCACAUGUGUGAGGUCCUGGGUUCAGUCCUCAGCACCACAA
rnacentral:tRNA from 1 species